rnacentral:rRNA from 2 species
GGGUUGUGAGGUUAAGCGACUAAGCGUACACGGUGGAUGCCCUGGCAGUCAGAGGCGAUGAAGGACGUGCUAAUCUGCGAAAAGCGUCGGUAAGGUGAUAUGAACCGUUAUAACCGGCGAUGUCCGAAUGGGGAAACCCAGUGCAAUUCGUUGCACUAUCGUUAACUGAAUACAUAGGUUAACGAGGCGAACCGGGGGAACUGAAACAUCUAAGUACCCCGAGGAAAAGAAAUCAACCGAGAUUCCCCCAGUAGCGGCGAGCGAACGGGGAGCAGCCCAGAGUCUGAAUCAGCUUGUGUGUUAGUGGAACGGUCUGGAAAGUCCGACGGUACAGGGUGAUAGUCCCGUACACCAAAAUGCACAGGCUGUGAACUCGAAGAGUAGGGCGGGACACGUGGUAUCCUGUCUGAAUAUGGGGGGACCAUCCUCCAAGGCUAAAUACUCCUGACUGACCGAUAGUGAACCAGUACCGUGAGGGAAAGGCGAAAAGAACCCCGGCGAGGGGAGUGAAAAAGAACCUGAAACCGUGUACGUACAAGCAGUGGGAGCACCUUCGGGUGUGACUGCGUACCUUUUGUAUAAUGGGUCAGCGACUUAUAUUCUGUAGCAAGGUUAACCGUAUAGGGGAGCCGCAGGGAAACCGAGUCUUAACUGGGCGUUAAGUUGCAGGGUAUAGACCCGAAACCCGGUGAUCUAGCCAUGGGCAGGUUGAAGGUUGGGUAACACUAACUGGAGGACCGAACCGACUAAUGUUGAAAAAUUAGCGGAUGACUUGUGGCUGGGGGUGAAAGGCCAAUCAAACCGGGAGAUAGCUGGUUCUCCCCGAAAGCUAUUUAGGUAGCGCCUCGUGAACUCAUCUUCGGGGGUAGAGCACUGUUUCGGCUAGGGGGUCAUCCCGACUUACCAACCCGAUGCAAACUACGAAUACCGAAGAAUGUUAUCACGGGAGACACACGGCGGGUGCUAACGUCCGUCGUGAAGAGGGAAACAACCCAGACCGCCAGCUAAGGUCCCAAAGUCAUGGUUAAGUGGGAAACGAUGUGGGAAGGCACAGACAGCCAGGAUGUUGGCUUAGAAGCAGCCAUCAUUUAAAGAAAGCGUAAUAGCUCACUGGUCGAGUCGGCCUGCGCGGAAGAUGUAACGGGGCUAAACCAUGCACCGAAGCUGCGGCAGCGACACUAUGUGUUGUUGGGUAGGGGAGCGUUCUGUAAGCCUGCGAAGGUGUGCUGUGAGGCAUGCUGGAGGUAUCAGAAGUGCGAAUGCUGACAUAAGUAACGAUAAAGCGGGUGAAAAGCCCGCUCGCCGGAAGACCAAGGGUUCCUGUCCAACGUUAAUCGGGGCAGGGUGAGUCGACCCCUAAGGCGAGGCCGAAAGGCGUAGUCGAUGGGAAACAGGUUAAUAUUCCUGUACUUGGUGUUACUGCGAAGGGGGACGGAGAAGGCUAUGUUAGCCGGGCGACGGUUGUCCCGGUUUAAGCAUGUAGGCUGAUUGUCCAGGCAAAUCCGGAUAAUCAAGGCUGAGGUGUGAUGACGAGGCACUACGGUGCUGAAGUAACAAAUGCCCUGCUUCCAGGAAAAGCCUCUAAGCAUCAGGUAACAUUAAAUCGUACCCCAAACCGACACAGGUGGUCAGGUAGAGAAUACCAAGGCGCUUGAGAGAACUCGGGUGAAGGAACUAGGCAAAAUGGUGCCGUAACUUCGGGAGAAGGCACGCUGGUGUGUAGGUGAAGUCCCUGCGGAUGGAGCUGAGACCAGUCGAAGAUACCAGCUGGCUGCAACUGUUUAUUAAAAACACAGCACUGUGCAAACACGAAAGUGGACGUAUACGGUGUGACGCCUGCCCGGUGCCGGAAGGUUAAUUGAUGGGGUUAUCCGUAAGGAGAAGCUCUUGAUCGAAGCCCCGGUAAACGGCGGCCGUAACUAUAACGGUCCUAAGGUAGCGAAAUUCCUUGUCGGGUAAGUUCCGACCUGCACGAAUGGCGUAAUGAUGGCCAGGCUGUCUCCACCCGAGACUCAGUGAAAUUGAACUCGCUGUGAAGAUGCAGUGUACCCGCGGCAAGACGGAAAGACCCCGUGAACCUUUACUAUAGCUUGACACUGAACAUUGAGCCUUGAUGUGUAGGAUAGGUGGGAGGCUUUGAAGCGUGGACGCCAGUCUGCGUGGAGCCAACCUUGAAAUACCACCCUUUAAUGUUUGAUGUUCUAACGUUGGCCCCUGACCGGGGUUGCGGACAGUGUCUGGUGGGUAGUUUGACUGGGGCGGUCUCCUCCCAAAGCGUAACGGAGGAGCACGAAGGUUAGCUAAUCCUGGUCGGACAUCAGGAGGUUAGUGCAAUGGCAUAAGCUAGCUUGACUGCGAGCGUGACGGCGCGAGCAGGUGCGAAAGCAGGUCAUAGUGAUCCGGUGGUUCUGAAUGGAAGGGCCAUCGCUCAACGGAUAAAAGGUACUCCGGGGAUAACAGGCUGAUACCGCCCAAGAGUUCAUAUCGACGGCGGUGUUUGGCACCUCGAUGUCGGCUCAUCACAUCCUGGGGCUGAAGUAGGUCCCAAGGGUAUGGCUGUUCGCCAUUUAAAGUGGUACGCGAGCUGGGUUUAGAACGUCGUGAGACAGUUCGGUCCCUAUCUGCCGUGGGCGCUGGAGAAUUGAGGGGGGCUGCUCCUAGUACGAGAGGACCGGAGUGGACGCAUCACUGGUGUUCGGGUUGUCAUGCCAAUGGCACUGCCCGGUAGCUAAAUGCGGAAGAGAUAAGUGCUGAAAGCAUCUAAGCACGAAACUUGCCCCGAGAUGAGUUCUCCCUGAGACUUUAAGUCUCCUGAAGGAACGUUAAAGACGAUGACGUUGAUAGGCCGGGUGUGUAAGCGCAGCGAUGCGUUGAGCUAACCGGUACUAAUGAACCGUGAGGCUUAACCUUACAACGCCGAAG